rnacentral:rRNA from 1 species
CGGAGUGGCGGACGGGUGAGGAAUACAUCGGAAUCUACUCUGUCGUGGGGGAUAACGUAGGGAAACUUACGCUAAUACCGCAUACGACCUACGGGUGAAAGCAGGGGAUCUUCGGACCUUGCGCGAUUGAAUGAGCCGAUGUCGGAUUAGCUAGUUGGCGGGGUAAAGGCCCACCAAGGCGACGAUCCGUAGCUGGUCUGAGAGGAUGAUCAGCCACACUGGAACUGAGACACGGUCCAGACUCCUACGGGAGGCAGCAGAA